rnacentral:rRNA from 1 species
GAUGAACGCUGGCGGCGUGCCUAAUACAUGCAAGUCGAGCGAACGGACGAGAAGCUUGCUUCUCUGAUGUUAGCGGCGGACGGGUGAGUAACACGUGGAUAACCUACCUAUAAGACUGGGAUAACUUCGGGAAACCGGAGCUAAUACCGGAUAAUAUUUUGAACCGCAUGGUUCAAAAGUGAAAGACGGCCUUGCUGUCACUUAUAGAUGGAUCCGCGCUGCAUUAGCUAGUUGGUAAGGUAACGGCUUACCAAGGCAACGAUGCGUAGCCGACCUGAGAGGGUGAUCGGCCACACUGGAACUGAGACACGGUCCAGACUCCUACGGGAGGCAGCAGUAGGGAAUCUUCCGCAAUGGGCGAAAGCCUGACGGAGCAACGCCGCGUGAGUGAUGAAGGUCUUCGGAUCGUAAAACUCUGUUAUUAGGGAAGAACAUAUGUGUAAGUAACUGUGCACAUCUUGACGGUACCUAAUCAGAAAGCCACGGCUAACUACGUGCCAGCAGCCGCGGUAAUACGUAGGUGGCAAGCGUUAUCCGGAAUUAUUGGGCGUAAAGCGCGCGUAGGCGGUUUUUUAAGUCUGAUGUGAAAGCCCACGGCUCAACCGUGGAGGGUCAUUGGAAACUGGAAAACUUGAGUGCAGAAGAGGAAAGUGGAAUUCCAUGUGUAGCGGUGAAAUGCGCAGAGAUAUGGAGGAACACCAGUGGCGAAGGCGACUUUCUGGUCUGUAACUGACGCUGAUGUGCGAAAGCGUGGGGAUCAAACAGGAUUAGAUACCCUGGUAGUCCACGCCGUAAACGAUGAGUGCUAAGUGUUAGGGGGUUUCCGCCCCUUAGUGCUGCAGCUAACGCAUUAAGCACUCCGCCUGGGGAGUACGACCGCAAGGUUGAAACUCAAAGGAAUUGACGGGGACCCGCACAAGCGGUGGAGCAUGUGGUUUAAUUCGAAGCAGCGCGAAGAACCUUACCAAAUCUUGACAUCCUUUGACAACUCUAGAGAUAGAGCCUUCCCCUUCGGGGGACAAAGUGACAGGUGGUGCAUGGUUGUCGUCAGCUCGUGUCGUGAGAUGUUGGGUUAAGUCCCGCAACGAGCGCAACCCUUAAACUUAGUUGCCAUCAUUAAGUUGGGCACUCUAAGUUGACUGCCGGUGACAAACCGGAGGAAGGUGGGGAUGACGUCAAAUCAUCAUGCCCCUUAUGAUUUGGGCUACACACGUGCUACAAUGGACAAUACAAAGGGCAGCGAAACCGCGAGGUCAAGCAAAUCCCAUAAAGUUGUUCUCAGUUCGGAUUGUAGUCUGCAACUCGACUACAUGAAGCUGGAAUCGCUAGUAAUCGUAGAUCAGCAUGCUACGGUGAAUACGUUCCCGGGUCU